AGGAAAAUUAUCUCAGUAAGUCUGCGGAACAGUUUCAUAGAAUGAACGAAUACAACCAACUUCAGCUGCAAGCUGCCCAUGCCCAGGAACAAAUUCACAGAAUGAGUGAAAACAGCCAUGUCCAAGUGCCUUUCCAGCAGCUCAGCCAACUUGCUGCCUACCCCUAUGCUGUUUGGUACUAUCCACAAAUCGUGCAGUAUAUUCCUUUCCCACAAUUUUCCGACAUCUCCAAUCCCACCGCUCCUGAGAAUUAGGAAAAAACUAACGCCAUGCUACAGUGGUG